rnacentral:piRNA from 1 species
UGACAGAGGGACCACGCCAAA